UACGGAGGGUGCAAGCGUUAUCCGGAUUCACUGGGUUUAAAGGGUGCGUAGGUGGGCAAGUAAGUCAGUGGUGAAAUCUCCGGGCUUAACCCGGAAACUGCCAUUGAUACUAUUUGUCUUGAAUACUGUGGAGGUCAGCGGAAUAUGUCAUGUAGCGGUGAAAUGCUUAGAUAUGACAUAGAACACCAAUUGCGAAGGCAGCUGGCUACACAAAUAUUGACACUGAGGCACGAAAGCGUGGGGUUCAAACAGG
rnacentral:rRNA from 1 species